rnacentral:rRNA from 1 species
GACGAACGCUGGCGGCGUGCCUAAUACAUGCAAGUAGAACGCACAGUUUAUACCGUAGCUUGCUACACCAUAAACUGUGAGUUGCGAACGGGUGAGUAACGCGUAGGUAACCUGCCUGGUAGCGGGGGAUAACUAUUGGAAACGAUAGCUAAUACCGCAUAAUAUUGAUUAUUGCAUGAUAAUUGAUUGAAAGAUGCUAUUGCAUCACUACCAGAUGGACCUGCGUUGUAUUAGCUAGUAGGUGAGGUAACGGCUCACCUAGGCGACGAUACAUAGCCGACCUGGGAGGGUGUUCGGCCCCCCUGGACCGGGACCCCGGCCAGACUCCUACGGGAGGCAGCAGUAGGGAAUCUUCGGCAAUGGACGAAAGUCUGACCGAGCAACGCCGCGUGAGUGAAGAAGGUUUUCGGAUCGUAAAGCUCUGUUGUAAGAGAAGAACGGGUGUGAGAGUGGAAAGUUCACACUGUGACGGUAUCUUACCAGAAAGGGACGGCUAACUACGUG